GCCCUUUCUUCUUCCCCUCUCCCUUUCUGGCAGAGCUUAGAAAAACCCAUGUACACCCAUUCCUGCCAUUCCUGGCACAACAGGCCAUUCAAAUCCCUCCUCAACCCAUGAGGGCAGCAGUAGGGCAGCCGGGCUCCCAGUGUUGCACACAGAUCUUUCAGAGUGUCAGUCGUGAUUUGCUAUUUUACCAUCUCACUGGUUUUACUGCUCAGGUAACACAGGCAGACCUUGCCUCCUGAUGGGCUUUGCUCCAGGGGCUGCAGAGGGAACAGACAGGCUUAGGGCACAGAGAAACCCAACCCCAUCCCAUCCUGGUGGGGCCAGGGUGUUCCCCUGCUGCUUCCUGGCUCAGUGCAUCCAUCCUUUCCUGGCACAGAGAUCCCAGCACAUUCCUGGAGUGGUAUUAGUGAGUUAGUGCUGAUUUCCAUCAGCUGGGGCUUGAUCCCCAGCAGCUGCCAGUUGUGAGGCCAAGUUGUUUAGGGACCUGAAGGCCCUUUCACUGGUAAGGAGUUUGAGAUGGUUUUGUUGCUGUGGAUGUGUUUCUGGUCUGUUCCACGUGCCAUUGUACCAGGGACCUUGGAAGACAUUUCAGCAUCUGAGGGCAGGGAUGGCAGGCAGGUGGAGGAGGAUGGAGAGGAACGAGCACAGAUGCCUUUUCAGCAUGCACGGAGCGCUGUCUCUGGAGAAGACCUGCUGGCAGGGGAAGAAUGUCCCCACCACUGCUGAGGAACUUGCAAACAUUGCAGAGAAUUUGUUUCUGGUAUCCAUUUUGACUUAUGAUCCUGCAGUGAGUUGGUGGAAUGUUUUUCCUGGGCAGUGCCCCCGACAUUGUCCCUGCCACAGCCUCCACCCAGCAACACCAAAUGAAAUUCAGAGCUUAAUGAAGGACAAACACACUGCCUUCCUGAUCCGAAGGAUUUCUUCUCUAACAAUGUUUCUUUCAUGACUUGUUCUUGUGAUACAGAGUUAUCAUUGUGCCUCAAACAAUGACUAGCUUAAAUCCAAAGGGAAUCUGCAAGUUUGUGUCACCUUAUCUAAAAGUAUCGAGAACAAGAGAAUACAGUCAGAGCAAAACUCCUUCCCCAUUUCCUUUCAACCUAUUGCAAAGGUGGCAAGAAGCCUCGAGUGUUUGUCUUUGGAAGAAUCAGCUCUUUCAGACCCAGAUGGUGUCAGGAUCGAUCGAUGUGAAUGCAGUUUAGUGUCCUUGCCAGCUCUCAGUUUGCAUGGCUGCCUGUCUCAAACAGCCCCUGUGAAGGCCACGUGCUGAUACCCCUUCUCACAGUGGGCAAUCCCCCACUCUCCAGCUAGUCAUAAUCACACUAGAGAGGGCUGGACUCCACGAGGGCAGUGCAGAUGGCAGAUCCUCAUGCACGCUGUGCAAACGGCAGGCUCAGAUCCAAAGACCUUGCAGAGCAUCACCAGCAGCCAUUAGAGACCUGCAACCUGAUUGGUAUGAUGGAUAAUUACUGUGUUGAAGUUCUCUAAA
rnacentral:lncRNA from 1 species